rnacentral:tRNA from 1 species
AUUUAUAUAAUAUAUUUAGUAUAUUUGACUUCCAAUCAAAAAGUUUAAAUUCUGUUUAAUAUAAGUA